rnacentral:rRNA from 1 species
UACGGAGGGUGCAAGCGUUAAUCGGAAUUACUGGGCGUAAAGCGUGCGUAGGCGGUUCGUUAAGUCUGCUGUGAAAGCCCCGGGCUCAACCUGGGAAUGGCAGUGGAUACUGGCGAGCUAGAGUGUGAUAGAGGAUGGUGGAAUUCCCAGUGUAACGGUGAAAUGCGUAGAGAUCGGGAGGAACAUCAGUGGCGAAGGCGGCUACCUGGACCGGUUCUGACGCUGAUGCGCGAAAGCGUGGGUAGCAAACAGG